UUGGCAGCCAGCUGGUGACUGUAGGGGCUGUGGAGGUUACCUCCGAGCAGUAAAUUUACUCAAAAUGAAGUGAAAAAUCCCACUGCAACGCUAAUGCAGGCCUGAGCAGGCUUCAAUACACAACCAUGAGGGCUUGCUACAUGCCCUGGAGUGAAUUGUGUUUAUAAAGCUUUUCUCUCAUAAAACGGGCAGCUUGGUACUGCCUUUUCCUAGAAGCACGCUUCAUGCACUUAGGUGCAGCGCACUGUCCUGUGAGCUGAUACUGAGUGGCUUAGAGAAGAACCAGCCAUAUAGUUGAUUCUGUGUGACAACGUGAGGAGAGAAUUCAAGCAUUAAAUGGACAUAGUAACUGUGCAGUGAGGAAUAAUGAAGCUCAAAAAGAAGUACUGAAUUACGAACUUGCCUUGCCCUUCCUUUCCCUAUCCGCACCAGCUGGCUGCCACCUGAUGUGACCUUCCUUCUCGUCCUCUGCUGAUGUCCAGCUUCACCGUGGAGCAGCAUUGUCGACAAGAAAAGAUGGCAUCGGGCAUUUAUAAUGUGAAUGUUGCUCAUCAUUGCUUGCUGAAUGUAUGCUGGAGAGAGGAACAACUUAGAUCUGACUCUUAACCGCAGGCCUCUUAAUUUCUGGAUGGACUGCAUCCUGCAUCAAAAGGCUAAGCUGUUCCUGAGGCAACAAGUGAUGUUGAAGAACAGCACCAAUGGGUCGUGAAGUGUAACCUGUCAGCGUUAUCUCUGCCACUGAAGUCAUCGGAGAUUUCUACUUCCUAGGAAGCCUGAAGUCAGCUGACUGCUAACAUGCAAAGAAUGGCUCCAACACAUGGGAAAAGCACUGUUGCCUCCCUGCAUCUUCCUAGUGCCUGGUGCUUCUGCCAGAAACCUUUUUUUCUGCUAUUGCCUCUGUAGUGAGUGCUGCUGAUCAGAAAAUGGAUUUGGGGCUUUGUUUCAAAAGUCUGCUGUUACCCUAGCCUUUACAGGGAGUAACCAAUCCCAAGUUGCUGCUGCUGAUGGGAAUGAGAGGACAGAAAAAGAGGGUGGGAUUGAUGGGUACAACUGUUGAGGAACCACCCGUUCCUUCGUAUAAUCAGGGUAGGAAAAAUUAAUGGGUGGUUUAAUGCAAAAAAAGUGCUGUUGGUGCCAGUGAUUUCUGUAUGAAAAACUGAACAUAGGUGUUCGCUGAACACACCCAUGUUCAGGUUUUCAUACAGAAAAUGGAACCAAGUACAUCACACAAGCUCCAGGAGAUAGCCCUAAGUCAAAACUGAGCUCUAACCAGAUAUUAACACUUCAUGUUAACUACUCUCCUAAACUCCACGCUUCCAAUAUGGGAAAGUCUGCUUGCCAUCAACACCUAUGAAAUAAUGUGUUUAAUGUUUCCUGUUA